GGUCAAGUGAAGAAGCGCAUACGGUGGAUGCCUUGGCAGUCAGAGGCGAUGAAAGACGUGGUAGCCUGCGAAAAGCUUCGGGGAGUCGGCAAACAGACUGUGAUCCGGAGAUGUCUGAAUGGGGGAACCCAGCCAUCAUAAGAUGGUUAUCUUGUACUGAAUACAUAGGUGCAAGAGGCGAACCAGGGGAACUGAAACAUCUAAGUACCCUGAGGAAAAGAAAUCAACCGAGAUUCCCUUAGUAGUGGCGAGCGAACGGGGACCAGCCCUUAAGUUGUAUUGAGAUUAGCGGAACACUCUGGAAAGGGUGGCCAUAGUGGGUGAUAGCCCUGUACGCGAAAAUCCCUUUGCAAUGAAAUCGAGUAGGACGGGGCACGAGAAACCUUGUCUGAAUAUGGGGGGACCAUCCUCCAAGGCUAAAUACUACUGACUGACCGAUAGUGAACCAGUACCGUGAGGGAAAGGCGAAAAGAACCGCGGAGAGCGGAGUGAAAUAGAUCCUGAAACCGUAUGCGUACAAGCAGUGGGAGCCCACUUUGUUGGGUGACUGCGUACCUUUUGUAUAAUGGGUCAGCGACUUAUUUUCAGUGGCGAGCUUAACCGAAUAGGGGAGGCGUAGCGAAAGCGAGUCUUAAUAGGGCGUCUAGUCGCUGGGAAUAGACCCGAAACCGGGCGAUCUAUCCAUGGGCAGGUUGAAGGUUGGGUAACACUAACUGGAGGACCGAACCGACUACCGUUGAAAAGUUAGCGGAUGACCUGUGGAUCGGAGUGAAAGGCUAAUCAAGCUCGGAGAUAGCUGGUUCUCCUCGAAAGCUAUUUAGGUAGCGCCUCAUGUAUCACUGUAGGGGGUAGAGCACUGUUUCGGCUAGGGGGUCAUCCCGACUUACCAAACCGAUGCAAACUCCGAAUACCUACAAGUGCCGAGCAUGGGAGACACACGGCGGGUGCUAACGUCCGUCGUGAAAAGGGAAACAACCCAGACCGUCAGCUAAGGUCCCAAAGUCAUGGUUAAGUGGGAAACGAUGUGGGAAGGCUUAGACAGCUAGGAGGUUGGCUUAGAAGCAGCCACCCUUUAAAGAAAGCGUAAUAGCUCACUAGUCGAGUCGGCCUGCGCGGAAGAUGUAACGGGGCUCAAACCAUGCACCGAAGCUACGGGUAUCAUCUUAGGAUGAUGCGGUAGAGGAGCGUUCUGUAAGCCUGUGAAGGUGAGUUGAGAAGCUUGCUGGAGGUAUCAGAAGUGCGAAUGCUGACAUGAGUAACGACAAUGGGUGUGAAAAACACCCACGCCGAAAGACCAAGGUUUCCUGCGCAACGUUAAUCGACGCAGGGUUAGUCGGUCCCUAAGGCGAGGCUGAAAAGCGUAGUCGAUGGAAAACAGGUUAAUAUUCCUGUACUUCUGGUUAUUGCGAUGGAGGGACGGAGAAGGCUAGGCCAGCCUGGCGUUGGUUGUCCAGGUUUAAGGUGGUAGGCUGAGAUCUUAGGUAAAUCCGGGAUCUUAAGGCCGAGAGCUGAUGACGAGUGUUCUUUUAGAACACGAAGUGGUUGAUGCCAUGCUUCCAAGAAAAGCUUCUAAGCUUCAGGUAACCAGGAACCGUACCCCAAACCGACACAGGUGGUUGGGUAGAGAAUACCAAGGCGCUUGAGAGAACUCGGGUGAAGGAACUAGGCAAAAUGGCACCGUAACUUCGGGAGAAGGUGCGCCGGUGGAGGUGAAGCAUUUACUGCGUAAGCCCCUGCCGGUCGAAGAUACCAGGCCGCUGCGACUGUUUAUUAAAAACACAGCACUCUGCAAACACGAAAGUGGACGUAUAGGGUGUGACGCCUGCCCGGUGCCGGAAGGUUAAUUGAUGGGGUUAGCGCAAGCGAAGCUCUUGAUCGAAGCCCCGGUAAACGGCGGCCGUAACUAUAACGGUCCUAAGGUAGCGAAAUUCCUUGUCGGGUAAGUUCCGACCUGCACGAAUGGCGUAACGAUGGCGGCGCUGUCUCCACCCGAGACUCAGUGAAAUUGAAAUCGCUGUGAAGAUGCAGUGUAUCCGCGGCUAGACGGAAAGACCCCGUGAACCUUUACUAUAGCUUUGCACUGGACUUUGAAUUUGCUUGUGUAGGAUAGGUGGGAGGCUUUGAAGCGUGGACGCCAGUCUGCGUGGAGCCAACCUUGAAAUACCACCCUGGCAACUUUGAGGUUCUAACUCAGGUCCGUUAUCCGGAUCGAGGACAGUGUAUGGUGGGUAGUUUGACUGGGGCGGUCUCCUCCUAAAGAGUAACGGAGGAGUACGAAGGUGCGCUCAGACCGGUCGGAAAUCGGUCGUAGAGUAUAAAGGCAAAAGCGCGCUUGACUGCGAGACAGACACGUCGAGCAGGUACGAAAGUAGGUCUUAGUGAUCCGGUGGUUCUGUAUGGAAGGGCCAUCGCUCAACGGAUAAAAGGUACUCCGGGGAUAACAGGCUGAUACCGCCCAAGAGUUCAUAUCGACGGCGGUGUUUGGCACCUCGAUGUCGGCUCAUCACAUCCUGGGGCUGAAGCCGGUCCCAAGGGUAUGGCUGUUCGCCAUUUAAAGUGGUACGCGAGCUGGGUUUAGAACGUCGUGAGACAGUUCGGUCCCUAUCUGCCGUGGACGUUUGAGAUUUGAGAGGGGCUGCUCCUAGUACGAGAGGACCGGAGUGGACGAACCUCUGGUGUUCCGGUUGUCACGCCAGUGGCAUUGCCGGGUAGCUAUGUUCGGAAAAGAUAACCGCUGAAAGCAUCUAAGCGGGAAACUUGCCUCAAGAUGAGAUCUCACUGGAACCUUGAGUUCCCUAAAGGGCCGUCGAAGACUACGACGUUGAUAGGUUGGGUGUGUAAGCGCUGUGAGGCGUUGAGCUAACCAAUACUAAUUGCCCGUGAGGCUUGACCAU
rnacentral:rRNA from 1 species